AGUGUGCGCUCCUGUCUUUGAUGGUAUCGACAAAGUGUGGUUUCACGUGUUGCCCCAACUGAGGCCGGUUUCCUGUCUGUAUGCUGAGUAGAUGGAAGGACCGCGCUGGGCCUUUCUGCCUGCCUGGAGUCAUCUGGAGAGAAAUCAAGUGUGAGCACCUCUCCCGCAGAAAGUUCUUGCAAGGUUCCAGUCGACUAAAUGAGCUUGCCUUCUGCCAGGAGUAAGGCAGUCCUGCAAGACAGAACCAAAGUGCCAUUCCCCAGGAAGCUCUUCUUUGUCAGAACAUCCCUGGUCCUUUUGUUUUUGUUUCUGAAUUAAAAAGAUGUGUUUGCCUGCC
rnacentral:lncRNA from 9 species